rnacentral:lncRNA from 1 species
UUUUCAUCAGUCAACCUUUAUGAAUGCUAACACAUUCAGUCCUUUUAUUUUUCCUUACCACUAGGUUUAAAAAAAAAAAAUACAGUUAAUCAUUAAGUUAUUUGAAAUUUUAACAGAAGUGCAAGUACCUACAUUUCUUUCUGGUCUUCGUAACACAUGGUACACACUCUCAUUCUUAGAUAAUACUGUUGUGUGUCAAAUGUACGAUAACACAUUCACUGAGAGGGAUUACUGACUCUACAGACAACUGCAGCACCUUUAAAAGGCAUUUAUCUAUGGUUAAGAGUUGGGCAUUUGGGGUUUGAAACACAGCCUCCUAUAAUUUAGGGCUGUGACUUCUCCACCCUCCCAAAAAAGAAUGGAUGCAUAAAACACUUUCAUCUGAAGUCUACAAAAAU